GAUAUCAACUAAAAAAGUCAUCAACAAUAAAGUUGAAUAUCUCAUCAAGAUCUAAAACUUUUAUUUUGAUCAUUUCUUCAUACGACAAAGUGAUAUUAACAUUGUUUACAAAAUUGACAUAUAUCUUAUCUGGUUUUAUAAACUAUAACACAUAUAUGUAAAUUUUGUGAAUAAUAUUACUAACAUUUUGUCGGAUGAAGAAAUAACAAAAAUAAAAGUUUUAGAUCUUGAUGAUUAUUCAACUUUGUUGUUGAUGACUUUUUCAGUUGAAAUU
rnacentral:pre_miRNA from 1 species